rnacentral:rRNA from 1 species
UGGCGGCGUGCCUAACACAUGCAAGUCGAACGAGAAUGUGGAGCAAUCCAUGAGUACAGUGGCGUACGGGUGAGUAACACGUGACUAACCUACCCUCGAGUGGGGAAUAACUUCGGGAAACCGAGGCUAAUACCGCAUAACAUCUACGGAUCAAAUGCGUAAGCAGCUUGAGGAGGGGGUCGCGGCUGAUUAGCUAGUUGGCGGGGUAAUGGCCCACCAAGGCAGUGAUCAGUAGCCGGCCUGAGAGGGCGCACGGCCACACUGGAACUGAAACACGGUCCAGACUCCUACGGGAGGCAGCAGUGGGGAAUUUUGCGCAAUGGGGGAAACCCUGACGCAGCAACGCCGCGUGGAGGAUGAAGCCCUUUGGGGUGUAAACUCCUUUCGAUCGGGACGAUUAUGACGGUACCGGAUGAAGAAGCACCGGCUAACUCUGUGCCAGCAGCCGCGGUAAUACAGAGGGUGCAAGCGUUGUUCGGAAUUAUUGGGCGUAAAGGGUGCGUA